UACGAAGGGGGCUAGCGUUGCUCGGAAUCACUGGGCGUAAAGCGCACGUAGGCGGAUCUUUAAGUCAGAGGUGAAAUCCCAAGGCUCAACCUUGGAACUGCCUUUGAUACUGGGGAUCUCGAGUCCGGAAGAGGUUGGUGGAACUGCGAGUGUAGAGGUGAAAUUCGUAGAUAUUCGCAAGAACACCAGUGGCGAAGGCGGCUCACUGGCCCGGUACUGACGCUGAGGUGCGAAAGCGUGGGGAGCAAACAGG
rnacentral:rRNA from 1 species